GUGACAAAACACACAUCAUUCAUAUUUGAUAGUGAAUAAGUCGGUGGUCCAUCGUUUUAACUUUGAUUGAUAUCCUUAAAAUUGAUGCAUAGCUUUAAACAACCAAUACUUUCUUAUGGAUUGUUUUUCUUCCAACUUCUCUAAGGGUUUUAUUUUAGAAAAUUGAUUAUAAGUAUUAAAUGAAAUCUAAGAGAAAAAAAAAAAAAAAAAGAGGAGAAAGAUGUAGAAGUUCCCAUGCCUUUAGAUUCGGAUUACGUGUGUCACUCUUUUUAUAGCUUUAACGCGAUGGUCGCUCAACGUGA